rnacentral:piRNA from 1 species
UGCUCCUGAGAAUCGAGACUAGUUGUUUC